UACGUAGGGGGCGAGCGUUGUCCGGAUUCAUUGGGCGUAAAGCGCUUUAAGGCGGUUCGCUAAGUCGGGUGUGAAACCUCCAGGCUCAACCUGGAGACGCCACUCGAUACUGGCGUGACUAGAGUUCGGUAGGGGACCACGGAAUUCCUGGUGUAGCGGUGAAAUGCGCAGAUAUCAGGAGGAACACCAGUGGCGAAGGCGGUGGUCUGGGCCGAUACUGACGCUGUAGAACGAAAGCGGGGGGAGCGAACAGG
rnacentral:rRNA from 1 species